rfam:Rattus norvegicus chromosome 2, whole genome shotgun sequence.
UGGCUCAGCGGUUAAGAGCACUGGUUGUUCUUCCAGAGGUCCUGAGUUCAAUUCUCAG